rnacentral:misc_RNA from 1 species
AACGCACCUUGCGCUCCUUGGUAUUCCGAGGAGCAUGCCUGUUUGAGUGUCAUGAAAUCUUCAACUUGCAACCUCUUUGCGGAGUUUGUAGGCUUGGACUUGGAGGGCUUGUCGGCCUUUAAUGGUCGGCUCCUCUUAAAUGCAUUAGCUUGAUUCCUUGCGGAUCGGCUGUCGGUGUGAUAAAAUGUCUACGCCGUGACCGUGAAGCGUUUGGAUGAGCUUCCAACCGUCUUGCUUCAAAGACAACUUUUUAUGACCUCUGACCUCAAAUCAGGUAGGACUACCCGCUGAACUUAA